rnacentral:piRNA from 1 species
UGACUGAUACUGUGUCUCAGCUCUCACC